UGAGACCUCUUGAUGGCCGCGGCCGUGAUCUUCAUUGGGAUCGGCUGAGGAACUUCCGGGCUCCAUAGAGCACGAUGGCGGAUAACGUCCGCCCAGGGUGACCUGAGAGAUAGCGCAACAGAGAACAGACCGCCCGUCCUCGACGGGUAAGGGUGAAACGGCGGUGUAAGAGACCACCGGGCCUCUGGUAACAGUAGGUCGCAUGGCAAGCCUCAUCGGGAGCAAGGCCAAGCAGAUGGCGGUAAGGGCUGCUCGCCCGUGUCAUCGGGUAGGCUGCUAGAGCCUGGCGGUAACGUCAGGUCGAGAUGGAUGGCCAUCCGUGCCGUGCGUUCGCGCACGGCACGACAGAACCCGGGGGAUAAGAGGUCUCAUUUU
rnacentral:RNase_P_RNA from 1 species